rnacentral:rRNA from 3 species
CUUCCGUAGGGUGAACCUGCGGAAGGAUCAUUACCGAGUGUAGGGUUCCUAGCGAGCCCAACCUCCCACCCGUGUUUACUGUACCUUAGUUGCUUCGGCGGGCCCGCCAUUCAUGGCCGCCGGGGGCUCUCAGCCCCGGGCCCGCGCCCGCCGGAGACACCACGAACUCUGUCUGAUCUAGUGAAGUCUGAGUUGAUUGUAUCGCAAUCAGUUAAAACUUUCAACAAUGGAUCUCUUGGUUCCGGCAUCGAUGAAGAACGCAGCGAAAUGCGAUAACUAGUGUGAAUUGCAGAAUUCCGUGAAUCAUCGAGUCUUUGAACGCACAUUGCGCCCCCUGGUAUUCCGGGGGGCAUGCCUGUCCGAGCGUCAUUGCUGCCCAUCAAGCACGGCUUGUGUGUUGGGUCGUCGUCCCCUCUCCGGGGGGGACGGGCCCCAAAGGCAGCGGCGGCACCGCGUCCGAUCCUCGAGCGUAUGGGGCUUUGUCACCCGCUCUGUAGGCCCGGCCGGCGCUUGCCGAACGCAAAUCAAUCUUUUUCCAGGUUGACCUCGGAUCAGGUAGGGAUACCCGCUGAACUUAAGCAUAUCAAUAAGCGGAGGAA